rnacentral:rRNA from 1 species
UACAGGGGGGGCAAGCGUUGUUCGGAAUUACUGGGCGUAAAGGGCUCGUAGGCGGCCGGCUAAGUCCGACGUGAAAUCCCCAGGCUUAACCUGGGAACUGCGUCGGAUACUGGCGGGCUUGAAUCCGGGAGAGGGAUGCGGAAUUCCAGGUGUAGCGGUGAAAUGCGUAGAUAUCUGGAGGAACACCGGUGGCGAAGGCGGCAACUUGGUCUGGUAUUGACGCUCAGGCACGAAAGCAUGGGGAUCAAACAGG